rnacentral:rRNA from 1 species
CCUACGGGGGGCAGCAGUGAGGAAUAUUGGUCAAUGGCCGGAAGGCUGAACCAGCCAUGCCGCGUGAAGGUCAGUGCCCUAUGGGCGUUAAACUUCUUUUGUGCGGGAGCAAUAAUGGUCACGUGUGGCCAGACGAGAGUACCGUACGAAUAAGCGUCGCCUAACUCCGUGCCAGCAGCCGCGGUUAUACGGAGGAUGCGAGCGUUAUCCGGAUUUAUGGGGUUUAAAGGGUGCGUAGGCGGAAUGUUAAGUCAGCGGUAAAAGCCCGGGGCUCAACCCCGGCGAGCCGUGGAAAAUGGAUGUCUAGAGAGGUCGAGAGGUAAGUGGAAUGCGCAGUGUAGCGGUGAAAUGCUUAGAUAUUGCGCAGAACACCGAUUGCGAAGGCAGCAUACCGGCGGCGAUCUGACGCUGAGGCACGAAAGCGUGGGUAUCGAACAGGAUUAGAUACCCUUGUAGUC